AACGAACGCUGGCGGCAGGCUUAACACAUGCAAGUCGAGCGCCCCGCAAGGGGAGCGGCAGACGGGUGAGUAACGCGUGGGAAUCUACCCAUCUCUACGGAAUAACGCAUGGAAACGUGUACUAAUACCGUAUACGUCCUUCGGGAGAAAGAUUUAUCGGAGAUGGAUGAGCCCGCGUUGGAUUAGCUAGUUGGUGGGGUGAAGGCCUACCAAGGCGACGAUCCAUAGCUGGUCUGAGAGGAUGAUCAGCCACACUGGGACUGAGACACGGCCCAGACUCCUACGGGAGGCAGCAGUGGGGAAUAUUGGACAAUGGGCGCAAGCCUGAUCCAGCCAUGCCGCGUGAGUGAUGAAGGCCCUAGGGUUGUAAAGCUCUUUCACCGGUGAAGAUAAUGACGGUAACCGGAGAAGAAGCCCCGGCUAACUUCGUGCCAGCCGCCGCCGUAAGAC
rnacentral:rRNA from 1 species